ACUAGGGACAGGGAAGGUUUUUCGUCCUACAUUCAUUUAAAUGAAACAUUAUUCGAGUCACAAAGAAGAGACGGUUACCGCUUCACAGACCAUAUUAAAGACCUUCGACUGGCCUUCACUAGGGCCAAAAAUAAAACUUAUAAGGCUAAAAGUAUGGCCAAAAAGAUGAGAGAGGACGAAAACGGCCAGGAGUAAUACAAUAAGUUUUAAAGCAUGUUUAUAUUAAAAAAAAAUUAAAUAAAUAAAAAUUGGAAUUGAAAAAAGAAA